UACGGAGGGUGCAAGCGUUAAUCGGAAUUACUGGGCGUAAAGCGCACGCAGGCGGUCAAUUAAGUCAGAUGUGAAAGCCCCGAGCUUAACUUGGGAAUUGCAUCUGAUACUGGCAAGCUUGAGUCUCGUAGAGGGGGGUAGAAUUCCAGGUGUAGCGGUGAAAUGCGUAGAGAUCUGGAGGAAUACCGGUGGCGAAGGCGGCCCCCUGGACGAAGACUGACGCUCAGGUGCGAAAGCGUGGGGAGCAAACAGG
rnacentral:rRNA from 1 species